rnacentral:rRNA from 1 species
UGGGGAAUAUUGCACAAUGGGGGAAACCCUGAUGCAGCGACGCCGCGUGAGCGAAGAAGGUUUUCGAAUCGUAAAGCUCUUUCCUAUGAGAAGAUAAUGACGGUAUCAUAGGAGGAAGCCCCGGCUAAAUACGUGCCAGCAGCCGCGGUAAUACGUAGGGGGCUAGCGUUGUCCGGAAUCACUGGGCGUAAAGGGUUCGCAGGCGGAAAUGCAAGUCAGGUGUAAAAGGCAGUAGCUUAACUACUGUAAGCAUUUGAAACUGCAUAUCUUGAGAAGAGUAGAGGUAAGUGGAAUUUUUAGUGUAGCGGUGAAAUGCGUAGAUAUUAAAAAGAAUACCGGUGGCGAAGGCGACUUACUGGGCUCAUUCUGACGCUGAGGAACGAAAGCGUGGGUAGCAAACAGG